UGCAAGAAAGUGUAUGGAUGACAGAGUCAUUUAAGCACAUAUUGCUGCCUACCUAUUGGGGAAUUUAAGCUAUUUUAUAGCUUGCACAGCAAGCAAGUCAGAAGAUAUGGCAAAUUCAACAAUAACUGAAGGAAAAGGAAUGGACAGAGAAAAACAUGCAGUAUACCACAAAAUAGAAAAAGAAAAGAUAUCCAGCCAAAAAAGAAAUGGGAAAAAAAUCAACUUUUUUUAGUCACCUGAAAUUACCCAUUAACACUACAAUUAAAGAAAUGCAUAAAGAAAAAAAGAAAAAUCCACCCACGCAGAUUACUCUUCAUGGGAAAGCCACACAGCAGAACUAAUAGUUUGGUAUUCUCUUCUACAUUUUUGGAAAAAAAAAAAAAAUAACAGCGGUAACACUGUCCUGAAAAAUGUAGUUUAACUGGUUCUUCAGCAUGUUGAAUAAAUUGGUACAAAAAAAAUGAA